rnacentral:rRNA from 1 species
UUAAGCGACUAAGCGUACACGGUGGAUGCCCUGGCAGUCAGAGGCGAUGAAGGACGUGCUAAUCUGCGAUAAGCGUCGGUGAGGUGAUAUGAACCGUUAUAACCGGCGAUUUCCGAAUGGGGAAACCCAGUGUGUUUCGACACACUAUCAUUAACUGAAUCCAUAGGUUAAUGAGGCGAACCGGGGGAACUGAAACAUCUAAGUACCCCGAGGAAAAGAAAUCAACCGAGAUUCCCCCAGUAGCGGCGAGCGAACGGGGAGGAGCCCAGAGCCUGAAUCAGUGUGUGUGUUAGUGGAAGCGUCUGGAAAGGCGYGCGAUACAGGGUGACAGCCCCGUACACAAAAAUGCACAYAYUGUGAGCUCGAUGAGUAGGGCGGGACACGUGGUAUCCUGUCUGAAUAUGGGGGGACCAUCCUCCAAGGCUAAAUACUCCUGACUGACCGAUAGUGAACCAGUACCGUGAGGGAAAGGCGAAAAGAACCCCGGCGAGGGGAGUGAAAAAGAACCUGAAACCGUGUACGUACAAGCAGUGGGAGCCUCUUAAUGAGGUGACUGCGUACCUUUUGUAUAAUGGGUCAGCGACUUAUAUUCUGUAGCAAGGUUAACCGAAUAGGGGAGCCGAAGGGAAACCGAGUCUUAACUGGGCGUUAAGUUGCAGGGUAUAGACCCGAAACCCGGUGAUCUAGCCAUGGGCAGGUUGAAGGUUGGGUAACACUAACUGGAGGACCGAACCGACUAAUGUUGAAAAAUUAGCGGAUGACUUGUGGCUGGGGGUGAAAGGCCAAUCAAACCGGGAGAUAGCUGGUUCUCCCCGAAAGCUAUUUAGGUAGCGCCUCGUGAAUUCAUCUCCGGGGGUAGAGCACUGUUUCGGCAAGGGGGUCAUCCCGACUUACCAACCCGAUGCAAACUGCGAAUACCGGAGAAUGUUAUCACGGGAGACACACGGCGGGUGCUAACGUCCGUCGUGAAGAGGGAAACAACCCAGACCGCCAGCUAAGGUCCCAAAGUCAUGGUUAAGUGGGAAACGAUGUGGGAAGGCCCAGACAGCCAGGAUGUUGGCUUAGAAGCAGCCAUCAUUUAAAGAAAGCGUAAUAGCUCACUGGUCGAGUCGGCCUGCGCGGAAGAUGUAACGGGGCUAAACCAUGCACCGAAGCUGCGGCAGCGACACUAUGUGUUGUUGGGUAGGGGAGCGUUCUGUAAGCCUGUGAAGGUGGCCUGUGAGGGUUGCUGGAGGUAUCAGAAGUGCGAAUGCUGACAUAAGUAACGAUAAAGCGGGUGAAAAGCCCGCUCGCCGGAAGACCAAGGGUUCCUGUCCAACGUUAAUCGGGGCAGGGUGAGUCGACCCCUAAGGCGAGGCCGAAAGGCGUAGUCGAUGGGAAACAGGUUAAUAUUCCUGUACUUGGUGUUACUGCGAAGGGGGGACGGAGAAGGCUAUGUUGGCCGGGCGACGGUUGUCCCGGUUUAAGCGUGUAGGCUGGUUUUCCAGGCAAAUCCGGAAAACCAAGGCUGAGGCGUGAUGACGAGGCACUACGGUGCUGAAGCGACAAAUGCCCUGCUUCCAGGAAAAGCCUCUAAGCAUCAGGUAACAUCAAAUCGUACCCCAAACCGACACAGGUGGUCAGGUAGAGAAUACCAAGGCGCUUGAGAGAACUCGGGUGAAGGAACUAGGCAAAAUGGUGCCGUAACUUCGGGAGAAGGCACGCUGAUAUGUAGGUGAAGCGACUUGCUCGUGGAGCUGAAAUCAGUCGAAGAUACCAGCUGGCUGCAACUGUUUAUUAAAAACACAGCACUGUGCAAACACGAAAGUGGACGUAUACGGUGUGACGCCUGCCCGGUGCCGGAAGGUUAAUUGAUGGGGUUAGCGGUAACGCGAAGCUCUUGAUCGAAGCCCCGGUAAACGGCGGCCGUAACUAUAACGGUCCUAAGGUAGCGAAAUUCCUUGUCGGGUAAGUUCCGACCUGCACGAAUGGCGUAAUGAUGGCCAGGCUGUCUCCACCCGAGACUCAGUGAAAUUGAACUCGCUGUGAAGAUGCAGUGUACCCGCGGCAAGACGGAAAGACCCCGUGAACCUUUACUAUAGCUUGACACUGAACAUUGAGCCUUGAUGUGUAGGAUAGGUGGGAGGCUUUGAAGUGUGGACGCCAGUCUGCAUGGAGCCGACCUUGAAAUACCACCCUUUAAUGUUUGAUGUUCUAACGUUGGCCCGUAAUCCGGGUUGCGGACAGUGUCUGGUGGGUAGUUUGACUGGGGCGGUCUCCUCCUAAAGAGUAACGGAGGAGCACGAAGGUUGGCUAAUCCUGGUCGGACAUCAGGAGGUUAGUGCAAUGGCAUAAGCCAGCUUGACUGCGAGCGUGACGGCGCGAGCAGGUGCGAAAGCAGGUCAUAGUGAUCCGGUGGUUCUGAAUGGAAGGGCCAUCGCUCAACGGAUAAAAGGUACUCCGGGGAUAACAGGCUGAUACCGCCCAAGAGUUCAUAUCGACGGCGGUGUUUGGCACCUCGAUGUCGGCUCAUCACAUCCUGGGGCUGAAGUAGGUCCCAAGGGUAUGGCUGUUCGCCAUUUAAAGUGGUACGCGAGCUGGGUUUAGAACGUCGUGAGACAGUUCGGUCCCUAUCUGCCGUGGGCGCUGGAGAACUGAGGGGGGCUGCUCCUAGUACGAGAGGACCGGAGUGGACGCAUCACUGGUGUUCGGGUUGUCAUGCCAAUGGCACUGCCCGGUAGCUAAAUGCGGAAGAGAUAAGUGCUGAAAGCAUCUAAGCACGAAACUUGCCCCGAGAUGAGUUCUCCCUGACUCCUUGAGGGUCCUGAAGGAACGUUGAAGACGACGACGUUGAUAGGCCGGGUGUGUAAGCGCAGCGAUGCGUUGAGCUAACCGGUACUAAUGAACCGUGAGGCUUAACCUU